rnacentral:rRNA from 1 species
UAGCGGCAGACGGGUGAGUAACGCGUAGGAAUCUACCCUUGACACGGUUAUAACCCAGAGAAAUCUGGGCUAAUUGCCGAUGGUGUGGAGGUUAAAAUCUUCACUAAAAGUCUGGAGUAAUCCAGGUUGGUCGAGGAGGAGCCUGCGUCCUAUCAGCUUGUUGGUAGGGUAAUGGCCUACCAAGGCGACGACGGGUAGGGGGUGUGAGAGCACGGCCCCCCACAUAGGCACUGAGACACGGGCCUAACACCUACGGGUGGCAGCAAUCGGGAAUAUUGCGCAAUGGGCGAAAGCCUGACGCAGUGACGCCGCGUGGAGGAUGAAGGCGGAAACGUUGUAAACUCCUGUGGCCGCCGAAAAUGGUGAUGGUAGGUGGCUAGAAAGCACCUGCUAACUACGUGCCAGCAGCCGCGGUAAUACGUAGGGUGCAAGUGUUAUCCGGAAUCACUGGGCGUAAAGGGUCCGCAGGCGGUUAGUUAAGUCUUAAGUCAAAGAUCCCAGCUUAACUGGGGGAAGGCUUAAGAUACUAACCAACUAGAGUUCGGGAAAGGAAAGCGGAACUGACACUGUAGGGGUGAAAUCCAUUGAUAGUGUCAGGAACACCAAUGGCGAAGGCAGCUUUCUGGCUCGACACUGACGCUCAUGGACGAAAGCUAGGGGAGCGAAAGGGAUUAGAGACCCCUGUAGUCCUAGCCGUAAACGAUCCCCGCUAGAUAGUGGGAGUAAUCUCACUGUCGUAGGUAACCCGAUAAGCGGGGCGCCUGGGGAGUACGAUCGCAAGAUUGAAACUCAAAGGAAUUGACGGGGACUCGCACAAGCGGUGGAGCAUGUGGUUCAAUUCGAUACAAAGCGAAGAACCUCACCAGGGUUUGACAUGCCUCUGCGGUCCCGAUGAAAAUCGGGACGCCUUCGAGGGUGAGGCACAGGUGCUGCAUGGCUGUCGUCAGCUCGUGCCGUGAGGUGUACCCUUAAGUGGGGUAACGAGCGCAACCCCUGCUUCUAGUUGGUCCGAUUUUAUCGGACAUCUCUAGAGGGACUGCCCUGUUAAACGGGGAGGAAGGAGGGGAUGACGUCAAGUCAGCAUGGCUCUUACGCCCUGGGCGACACACAUCCUACAAUGGGCGCUACAACGAGUCGCAACCUGGUAACAGGAAGCUAAUCUCGUAAAAGCGCUCUCAGUUCGGAUUGAGGGCUGAAACUCGUCCUCAUGAAGUCGGAAUCGC